rnacentral:rRNA from 1 species
UGGGGAAUAUUGCACAAUGGGCGCAAGCCUGAUGCAGCCAUGCCGCGUGUAUGAAGAAGGCCUUCGGGUUGUAAAGUACUUUCAGCGGGGAGGAAGGGAGUAAAGUUAAUACCUUUGCUCAUUGACGUUACCCGCAGAAGAAGCACCGGCUAACUCCGUGCCAGCAGCCGCGGUAAUACGGAGGGUGCAAGCGUUAAUCGGAAUUACUGGGCGUAAAGCGCACGCAGGCGGUUUGUUAAGUCAGAUGUGAAAUCCCCGGGCUCAACCUGGGAACUGCAUCUGAUACUGGCAAACUUGAGUCUCGUAGAGGGGGGUAGAAUUCCAGGUGUAGCGAUGAAAUGCGUAGAGAUCUGGAGGAAUACCGGUGGCGAAGGCGGCCCCCUGGACGAAGACUGACGCUCAGGUGCGAAAGCGUGGGGAGCAAACAGG